rnacentral:rRNA from 1 species
AGUGAACGCUGGCGGUAGGCCUAACACAUGCAAGUCGAACGGCAGCACAGUAAGAGCUUGCUCUUACGGGUGGCGAGUAGCGGACGGGUGAGGAAUACAUCGGAAUCUACUUUUUCGUGGGGGAUAACGUAGGGAAACUUACGCUAAUACCGCAUACGACCUACGGGUGAAAGCAGGGGAUCUUCGGACCUUGCGCGAUUGAAUGAGCCGAUGUCGGAUUAGCUAGUUGGCGGGGUAAAGGCCCACCAAGGCGACGAUCCGUAGCUGGUCUGAGAGGAUGAUCAGCCACACUGGAACUGAGACACGGUCCAGACUCCUACGGGAGGCAGCAGUGGGGAAUAUUGGACAAUGGGCGCAAGCCUGAUCCAGCCAUACCGCGUGGGUGAAGAAGGCCUUCGGGUUGUAAAGCCCUCUUGUUGGGAAAGAAAAGCAGCAGGUUAAUACCCCGCUGUUCUGACGGUGCCCAAAGAAUAAGCACCGGCUAACUUCGUG